AAACAUUUUUACCUAAACACUUGGUGAUUUAAUUCUGCUCCGCUGUUCAAGCCAUUCUUUUGCAUAUAUCAACAGAGGGAAAAGGGUUUUUCUUAAUGUUAUUUGAUUUGAAUUUUUUUUUUUGAAUUAUAAAACACAAUUAUGACAUGAUUACUGUCAUGUCAAAAGGGUGAACUCAUUGUUAAGGUGGUUGAAUUUCCAUAGAGACAGCUCUACGAUACUCAAUAUGUGAUACUCUAUAAUUUUCGUUUGGUGCAGAACGUCUUCAGUUUUGCUUUUGGGCCUAGAGUUAAUUCAAUUAAAAUUAUAUCUUCUUCUGUUUUAGAAUGUUUCAUAAUAAUCACUUUGAUUUGUGUUUUGUCUAGAAUCUCUUCUUUCUUGCUUCUGGGGCCUUCUUAUUUGCUGAUCUCGCAUUGUUCUUUUACAUGGAACUCCAGGGACUAGAAAAACCGCUUUAUGUAAAGCAUUAGCUCAAAAACUAUCCAUCUGAUUUAACUCCAGAUACCUACAGUCCCAAUUGCUUCAAAUUAAUGCACAUUCUCUAUUCAACAAAUGAUACUCUGAAAAUGGCAAGCUGAUGAAGUUGAAAGUCUCGCUGCU